rnacentral:rRNA from 1 species
GUGCCAGCCGCCGCGGUAAUUCCAGCUCCAAUAGCGUAUAUUAAAGUCGUUGUGGUUAAAAAGCUCGUAGUUGAACCUUGGGCCUGGCUGGCCGGUCCGCCUCACCGCGUGCACUGGUCCGGCCGGGCCUUUCCCUCUGUGGAACCCCAUACCCUUCACUGGGCGUGGCGGGGAAACAGGACAUUUACUUUGAAAAAAUUAGAGUGCUCCAGGCAGGCCUAUGCUCGAAUACAUUAGCAUGGAAUAAUAAAAUAGGACGCGCGGUUCUAUUUUGUUGGUUUAUAGGACCGCCGUAAUGAUUAAUAGGGACAGUCGGGGGCAUCAGUAUUCAACUGUCAGAGGUGAAAUUCUUGGAUCAGUUGAAGACUAACUACUGCGAAAGCAUUUGCCAAGGAUGUUUUCAUUAAUCAGGAACGAAAGUUAGGGGAUCGAAGACGAUCAGAUACCGUCGUAGUCUUAACCAUAAACUAUGCCGACUAGGGAUCGGACGGUGUUAUUCAUGACCCGUUCGGCACCUUACGAGAAAUCAAAGUGCUUGGGCUCCAGGGGAGUAUGGUCGCAAGGCUGAAACUUAAAGAAAUUGACGGAAGGGCACCACCAGGGGUGGAGCCUGCGGCUUAAUUUGACUCAACACGGGGAAACUCACCAGGUCCAGACACAAUAAGGAUUGACAGAUUGAGAGCUCUUUCUUGAUUUUGUGGGUGGUGGUGCAUGGCCGUUCUUAGUUGGUGGAGUGAUUUGUCUGCUUAAUUGCGAUAACGAACGAGACCUUAACCUGCUAAAUAGCAGGGCCGCUUUGGCGGGUCGCAGCUUCUAGAGGGACUUAUCCGCUCAGCGAUGAGGUUGAGGCAUACAGGUCUGUGAUGCCUUAG